UCUAAUUAUUUCCCAUUACACAAUCAGUUAGGUAGCCAUUUUUUUCCCAAUUGAAAAUCGCAGAAAAAAAUAUUCCUACUUACUUUAAUAGGUACCUGCCAAUCUCGAGGUGCAUACUUACCCUUCUAUCAAAAUUACGAGUAAAACGUGAACAAAAUAUGAGUAAAAUUACAGUUUUUGUGAUUAGUUUAUUAAUUUUUUACUUCACAGCAGUUCCAGAAACGGAAUCUGCUCGUAGAUGUGCUGUUAAUAAGAAAGUCUACCCCAAUGAAAACGCUUGCUUGGGAGAAUGUCGUGAUGAAUGCAAUGACAGUAAAAGAUGCGGUGGAUUUCUUGCAUGUUUGAAGCUUAAUGAUAGGGAAGGGUAUGGUUGUAUUUGCGAGCAUUCAUGAUUGAUAGGCAUGUGUAUGUAUCGUGCACAAGGUUCAAUGUCCAGUAGGUAUUGUGAUGAGUUUAUUUAGGUUUUUUUUUGUUUUUCUCGUAUAAUAAAUUUAUUCGUUGCUCAAUAA